rnacentral:ncRNA from 2 species
CUCUUAUCACGAGAGGUGGAGGGACUGGCCCUGUGAAGCCCGGCAACAGCUAGAUAUUCUAGAAAUGUGCUAAAUCCUGAAGGAUAUUUCCUUAAAGAUGAGAG